AUGACCUGGCAAUGGGGCUGGCUAUGGUGGCACAGCAGCACCCAUGGAUGGACUGGCACUGGGGCUGGCUAUGGGGUCACAGCAGGACCCUUGGGGCUGGCUAUGGGGUCACAGCAGGACCUAUGGAUGACCUGGCACUGGGGCUGCCUAUGGGGUCACAGCAGGACCCUUGGGGCUGGCUAUAGGGUCACAGCAGCACCCAUGGAUGGGCUGGCAAUGGGUCUGGCUAUGGUGGCACAGCAGCACCAGCAGCACCCAUGGAUAGUCUGGCAAUGGGGCUAUGGUGGCACAGCAGCUAUGGUGGCACAGCAGCACCCAUGGAUGGACUGGCUAUGGGGUCACCGCAGGACCCUUGGGGCUGGCUAUGGGGUCACAGCAGCACCCAUAGAUGGCCUGGCUUUGGGGACACAGCAGCACCCAUGGAUGACCUGGCACUGGGGCUAUGGUGGCACAGCAGCACCCAUGGAUGGCCUGGCACUGGGGCUGCCUAUGGGGUCACAGCAGGACCUAUGGAUGACCUGGCAAUGGGGCUGGCUAUGGGGUCACUGCAGGACCCUUGGGGCUGGCUAUAGGGUCACAGCAGCACCCAUAGAUGGCCUGGCUUUGGGGACACAGCAGCACCCAUGGAUGGGCUGGCAAUGGGUCUGGCUAUGGUGGCACGGCAGCACCAGCAGCACCCAUAGAUGGCCUGGCUUUGGGGACACAGCAGCACCCAUGGAUGGGCUGGCACUGGGGCUAUGGUGGCACGGCAGCUAUGGUGGCACAGCAGCACCCAUGGGCCUGGCGCAGUCGGGGCUGGCUAUGGUGCAGAGCAGGACGGGCAUGCGCAGGGGGCCGGGGACAGGCCGUGGCACGCCGCACCGAGCCCAGCCCUGCGGUGGCAGCCCGGCUCCUGGCCGUGGCCGGCAGUGAGCAGCCGGCACCCAUCGCCCAGCCCCGGGGCGGCGGGAGGGCCGGGAGCUGCACGGUGCCACCGCGGCGAUGGGGAGGGGAUGGCUGCGGUGCGGUGCCAACCGUGCCGGCACCCCUGGGAAUUUCCUGCGCUGGGAAGGGGGGGGGGGGGGGAGGAAGGGGGGGGUCGGGGUUCCCCCUCGCCCCGUUCCGGGUUGGCGUCGGCUGCAGAAGGGUUAAUGCUGUGUGUGUUCUGGGAAGCGGGGCUGGGAGGUGCGUGACCCGGGGUGUGGGCGUCGACUCCUUUUGAGGUGGGAUCCGAGCUGAAGUGCAGCGGGGAGCGGGGCCAAGUUCACACAGCAGCACCCUGCACCCUUCCCUGCCUCUGCCGGAGCAGCGCCCGGCCACGCGGGCACAGGCGCCAGGUGAGCGGUGCGCCCACCCCGCUGCCACCCGGGGGGGCGGUGGGGAUGUGGGGCUGGGGGGGGAUGUGGGGUGACCACGGCGCCGUUUCCGGGUGGCUUUGGGGCUGGCGGUGGGAUGCCGGCGUCGAGCGAACCCCGCGGAGGGAUGGGAGGGGUGGGAUGGGUGGCACCGCGCGGCCACCGCGGCGUCCCCUCUGCCGGCACGUGGCACGGGGAUGGCUUUGGGGGUAGGUCGGGGUCGGGGUGGCUGGGAUGGGGCCCUACGGGUGGUGGGUGGGCCCUGCUGGGUGAGGGGCGGCGGGUCCCCGCUGCAGGAGGUGGUGGGGACGGCGGUGGGGACGCGGCCUUGAGCGCUGCGUUGCGCGGCGUGGGGCUGAGCACCAGGAUGGGGCCGUGCCGUGAUGUGCGCCCGCACGGCCCACGCUGCUGAGGGCUCAGCCCCACGGCCGUGGGGAGCUCGAGGUUUGGGGGGCAGCUGGGUGGGCGCGCGACGAGAUGGGGUCCCGCUAUGGGGCGCCUCACCCCCCUGGCUGUGGGGCGGGUGGGUGCUGUUUACCCUCUCAUCUCUUCAACCCAUUUCCUCUCUUGUGUGCUCGCUGUUUUCUUCUUUCAAAGAGUGGGGACCGCUUCCCCAGCCCUCAUCCGGGCUCCCCUUCGGCACCGGGACCCCCAGGACCCCCACCCACCCAUUGGGCACACAUUGGGGCCACCAACCCGGCCGGAGCCCACCCGCCACCCACUGCCUCACUCCAACGGGUGCUGUUGGGCAGAGGGGCUGCUCAGCCCCCAUCCCACAGCCGUGCCGACCCUAUGUGACACCCGGGUUGGCUUUGGGGAUGGGUGGGUGGGGGGACGCCUGGGUCCCUUCCCGGCUCCCAAAGGGCGCAGGGCCCCGUGGGGCGAGGGGCCGGGCGCUGCGCUCACCUUCCUGGCUGACUCAUUCUCCCCACUGUGGCUGUGAAGUCCCUCGAGAGUGCAGCAGCAGCCGGGAGCACCCCGAGGUGGGGGCAGCGCUCCCCAGGACCCCCCCCUCCCCAACCCCCAUCCACCCCAAAUCCACCCGCAUGCAGCGGGGAGGGCACGGCCUGGGGUCCCUCCGUGCCACGGUCUGG
rnacentral:lncRNA from 7 species